rnacentral:rRNA from 1 species
UUCGCAAUGCCCGAAAGGGUGAACGAGCGACGCCACGUGCGGGAUGAAGGGCUUCGGCUUGUAAACCGCUUUUCUUUGGGAAGAAGGUUCAGAUCGUGAAUCUGGGCUCGACGGUACCAGAGGAAUAAGCCCCGGCUAACUCCGUGCCAGCAGCCGCGGUAAGACGGAGGGGGCAAGCGUUGUUCGGAAUUAUUGGGCGUAAAGGGCGCGUAGGCGGAUCGGCGGGUCCGGCGUGAAAUCUCCACCGCUUAACGGGGAGAAGCCGCUGGAAACUACCGAUCUGGAGUUCGGCAGAGGACCAUGGAAUUCCAGGUGUAGCGGUGGAAUGCGUAGAUAUCUGGAAGAACACCGGUGGCGAAGGCGGUGGUCUGGGCCGAAACUGACGCUGAGGCGCGAAAGCCAGGGGAGCGAACGGGAUUAGAUACCCCGGUAGUCCUGGCCCUAAACGAUGGGCACUAAGUAGAGGGGUUUU